rfam:Aedes albopictus isolate Foshan contig142295, whole genome shotgun sequence.
UAGCCUAGUGAUCAAGGCUAUGGAUCGCCAAUCCAGAGACGGCGGGUUCGAUUCCCGU